CCCGCCGCCCAACCUCCCGGCCCAGGAGUCCCAGGCUCUCGUGUCCUGGGUCCUGAGCCUCGGGCUGGGUCUUUUUCCCGCUGGACCCCUCCUGUCAUACCACGCUGGGACCCCCACAACCUCCGCGCCCUUCACCUCUGCUGUGCAGUAAUCGCGCGCGUGCAAGAGAGGAGACCUGUCUACGCGCGGGGUCCUGGAGGAGGGGGUCGGAUCCUGGCACCAGCACCGAGCACGGGAGGGCGGGAUGACGUGCGGCAUCUCCAGGGCAAUGGCCAAUCCCAUGAAGGCGCCGGAAGACAAAAGUCUCCACCCGCACUCCUCGCAAGAUGGCGGGAGAAGGGUCGGGGGAGAUUGGCAGUUGCUAAGGUAAAUGACGCGCAGUGCCCCGGGACAGUGAUUGCUGCCUUCUCGGCUGCAGAAUUCCGGGCCAAGUCCGGAUAGGACUCCGAGCGGAACUGCAUUUCCCGCAAGCCUCUGCGCUGCCCCCACAGGCCUUUCCCACCGGUUCCCUCAGGCCCUAAGAAGGCGGGAAGAGGCGCUGUGUCCUGGGCCCCUCUGGAGCGCCCCACCUGGUGGGAGGAAUCCGGACACUGCGCGGGUCUGUAGAACCAUCGAGACCGCAGUCCUCCGGGCGCCCAGAGCGACGUACCCGGGAGUCUCUGAGGGACUAGCCGCUGGGCCUCGGCGCUUGAGUUCCGGGCGGGGUCGAGCUGUUGGUCCGGCCGCAAGAUGUGGCUCGGGCAGCCCGGAGAACCGCGGCCCGGUGUGGGCGACCGGUUGGGGCCACUGCAGCGUCAGCACCCGGGUCGGAGGCCGCUCAGAGGGCUGGCUCAGCGCCCGAGGAGCCACCCGUGACCCCACGCGGGAGAUUCCCUUUGCCGGUUGGAGGUCGGGGAGGGCGCCCUGCCCCGGCGGCUGCGAGUCUGCGUGGGCCCAGCCCGGGCCUCAGUGUUCCCUUCUGUAAAGUGUGGGUCACGCAGCCAUCCCACUUUAAAGCUUUCUGGAUACUCUGUCGGUUCCUCUCUAAACCAGGGUCUGCAAUGACAAGCCCUGUGAUGACCCGGAUGCCUCGAGACUCUAACGCUGGGAAUCUGGCGCACUCCAGGUUGCGAGGUGACGCACAACCGCCUCCUCCCUCUGGGCCUCCGCUUCCCCGUCUGCAAAACGGUCGGGAUGCCGCCGCCUUUCUAAGCUUGGUGCAAGGGCCGGCCGGGCGCCGUGGCUCUCUGGGAGGCCGAGGCUGGCGGAUCCCCUGCGGCCAGGCGUUCAAGCCUCGCCGGGCCAACCCCUCCCUCUCGGAAGCUCCCACGCGGAUUUGUCACUUACUUGGCUGGCUUUCGUCUGGUUUUUUGAGACAGGGGAUUUUCCGUUACCCUGGCUGGAGUGCAGUGGUGCGAUCGCGGCUCACUGACGCCUCCAUCUCCUGAGCUCAACCGAUCCCACCAACUCAGGCUCCCAAACUGCCGGGAUUGCAGGUGUGAGCCACCGCACCUGGCCGACUUCUCAUUGAUUGGAACGAUUCGACUGCACUCAGGCUCUCCGUGGGCCCCGGGAGGCAAGGCACUUAGCUCUAGGACGGUGCCUGGAUACUGUAAGGCCAACUUCUGUCAGGUCUUCAGAGUCCGUGGCCGCAGCUUUGGGGCUCACAGGUGGGCCCUAUUUUAGGGCCUGCCUUUGGUCACACGACAAACGUGGAACAUGUGGACACAAGAGACAUUGUGGACCUGAGUGUUCAUAACUGCUCCUUCCUGGCUGCUAUCAUGGACAAGUAAACCUCUUUUUUUUUUGAGACGGAGUUUCGCUUUCGUCGCUCAGGCUUGAGUGCAAUGGUGCGUUCUCCACUCACUGCAAUCUCUGCCUCCCUGGUUCAGUUCAUCUAAAACUGGUUAUUCGGGCCAGUAGCUCAUGCCUGUAUUCCCAGCACUUUGGGAGGCCAAGGGAGGAGGAUGACUUGAGGCUAGGAGUUCAAGACCACCCUGGGCAACACAGUGAGGCUCCAUCUCUACAAAAAAUUAAAAAAUUAGCUGGACGUGGUGGUGUACACCUGUAGCCUCAGCUGCUCAGGUGGAAGGCUGAGGUGGGAGGGUCCUUUAAGCCUAGGCGUUCAAGGUUGCAGAGAGCUAUAAUCACACCACUGCACUCCCACUUGGGAGGCAGUCAGACCCCCAUCUCUAAAAACAGAAAACAAAAAUGGUGUAGGGCACGAUGGCUCACGCCUGUAUUCCCAGCACUUUGGGAGGCUGAGGCAGGUGGAUCACGAAGUCAGGAGGUUGAGAUUAUCCCGAACAACAUGGUGAAACCCCACCUCUACUAAAAAUACAAAAAAUUAGCUGGGCAUGGUGGCACAUGUCUGUAGUCCCAGCUACUCGGGAGGCUGAGGCAGGGGAAUUGCUUGAACCAGGGCGGUGGGGGUUGCAGUGAGCUGAGAUCACACCCCUGCACUCCCUCUGAGCGACAGAGCAAGACUCCGUCUCAAAAACAAACAAAAACAGAAAUAGCUCCCUGAGAGUUGGAGGUUGUGGUGAGCCAAGAUUACGCCAUUGCACUCCAGCCUAGACAACAAGAAUGAAACUCUGUGAAAGAAAGGAAGGCUGGGCACGGUGGCUCAAGCCUGUAAUCCCAGCACUUUGGGAGGCCGAGGCGGGUGGAUCACGAGGUCAAGAGAUCGAGACCAUUCUGGUCAACAUGGUGAAACCCCGUCUCAACUAAAAAUACAAAAAAUUAGCUGGGCACAGUGGCGCGUGCCUGUAAUCCCAGCUACUCGGGAGGCUGAGGCAGGAGAAUUGCCUGAACCCAGGAGGCAGCGGUUGCGGUGAGCCGAGAUCGUGCCAUUGCACUCCAGCCUGGGUAACAAGAGCGAAACUCCGUGUCAAAAAAAAAAAAAAAAGAAAGAAAGAAAGAAAGAAAUCCCUGACAUCAACUCCUGGGCUCAAGGGUUCCUCCCACCUUAGCCUCCCCAGCAGCAGAGACUACAGGCACACACCAUCUGACCUGGCUAUUAUAAUUAUUACUGUAGAGAUGAGGUCUCCCUACAUUGCCCAGGCUGGUCUUGAACUCCUGGCCUCAAGCUAUUCUGCCUCCGCCUUCCAAAUAUCUGGAAUUAUAGGCAUGAGCCACCACACCUGGCCUGCAUCCUGUGUUUUCACGUGGUAACUUUAGUGUGGAGUCUUAGAUCCUCAGAGGGCUUUGUGAAAGCUGAACGGGGAAGAAGACUCAAGAGGCCCCUCGACUCCCACAUUAACUCAAACGUGAUUUACAUGAAUUCA